AAUUCAGCAAACUCACGGGAUAA
rnacentral:miRNA from 1 species